rnacentral:rRNA from 1 species
CAGAAGAAGCGCCNGNCUAACUACGUGCCAGCAGCCGCGGUAAUACGUAGGGCGCAAGCGUUGUCCGGNAAUUAUUGGGCGUAAAGAGCUCGUAGGCGGUUUGUCGCGUCUGCUGUGAAAGCCCGGGGCUUAACCCCGGGUGUGCAGUGGGUACGGGCAGACUAGAGUGCAGUAGGGGAGACUGGAAUUCCUGGUGUAGCGGUGGAAUGCGCAGAUAUCAGGAGGAACACCGAUGGCGAAGGCAGGUCUCUGGGCUGUUACUGACGCUGAGGAGCGAAAGCAUGGGGAGCGAACAGGAUUAGAUACCCUGGUAGUCCAUGCCGUAAACGUUGGGCACUAGGUGUGGGGGACAUUCCACGUUUUCCGCGCCGUAGCUAACGCAUUAAGUGCCCCGCCUGGGGAGUACGGCCGCAAGGCUAAAACUCAAAGGAAUUGACGGGGGCCCGCACAAGCGGCGGAGCAUGCGGAUUAAUUCGAUGCAACGCGAAGAACCUUACCAAGGCUUGACAUAUACCGGAUCGUUCCAGAGAUGGUUCUUCCCCUUUGGGGUCGGUAUACAGGUGGUGCAUGGUUGUCGUCAGCUCGUGUCGUGAGAUGUUGGGUUAAGUCCCGCAACGAGCGCAACCCUCGUUCCAUGUUGCCAGCACGUGAUGGUGGGGACUCAUGGGAGACUGCCGGGGUCAACUCGGAGGAAGGUGGGGAUGACGUCAAAUCAUCAUGCCCCUUAUGUCUUGGGCUUCACGCAUGCUACAAUGGCCGGUACAAAGGGUUGCGAUACUGUGAGGUGGAGCUAAUCCCAAAAAGCCGGUCUCAGUUCGGAUUGAGGUCUGCAACUCGACCUCAUGAAGUCGGAGUCGCUAGUAAUCGCAGAUCAGCAACGCUGCGGUGAAUACGUUCCCGGGCCUUGUACACACCGCCCGUCAAGUCACGAAAGUCGGUAACACCCGAAGCC